UGGAUGUUCUCAGACAAGCAGCCUUACC
rnacentral:piRNA from 1 species